GGAUAUCAACACUUUAAAAAAGAGAAAUGACGAUAUUUAUUGCGAAAUUGAAAUUUAUACUAAUGACAUUGGACGGCAAAAUGAUACCGAAGAAAAGAGAUGUGAAGAAAUUUCAAAAAACAAUCGAGAAGAGAAUAUGGACCUAACAACAUAUGUUAAAAUAAUAACCAAUCUACAUAAUGAUCACAAACAUCAAAUUAAAGUUGUGAAUGAAGAUUGUUUGGAAAUUGUUACUCUCAGUGGCCAUACAGUGGAAGUGUCUGUUGACAAUUUCCACGGAUAUUUUAAGAUCGGAGAGCAUAUCCAAUGCAGAGUGUGCAGGGUGAUGGUGGAAGACGUGGAAGUCCAUAAACUUACCAUGAAACAUAUGAGAUUGAUUAUGGGUACUCU